rnacentral:pre_miRNA from 1 species
GGUUGGAUUACUGGGCGAAUACUCCCAUGGCAGAUGACUUUGGCAUUGGUAGAGUCUAGAGAUGCAAAGCAAAAUGCUCUCUGCCAAAGGAGAUUUGCCCCGCAAUUCAUCC